GGAGAUGAUAGGGGAGGGGAGUGCAUAUCUUCCCUGUCCAUGCUGCCACAUGACAGAUGAGUAAUGGGGACAGCUCUCCCAUGCUCACAUCAGGGCUGCCUCACCCACACCUUCAUCAACAGAGUCAGUUCUACAUUGCUGCCCUGGAAAGACAAACAUGCUGAAUUAUUUGGACGGCAUAACUUCAGAAGGUUGGAAGAUCCAUCAAAUUGCAAAUUUCUCAAGAAGUGCUAACAGCUGAGCUAUAUCCAGCUCAUCUCUCCUGAGAAAUGAACUGAAGAAAAGAGUCCUCAUGGUUCAUGGAGAACACAGAGAAGGGGACAGGGGUCCAGAAGCCAUCUGUGACAUUCCUGGAAAGGAAAUGCCUCACUAAAUCUUCUCCUGCCACAACCAGAAAAACAGUUAAGGGAACACACAGCAUUCUGGAAGAAAGAAUGCAGCCUUUGUGAUGCCUGUCCACUUUCC
rnacentral:lncRNA from 1 species